rnacentral:rRNA from 1 species
GCUUGUCUCAAAGAUUAAGCCAUGCAUGUCUAAGUAUAAGCACCCUUAUACUGCGAAACUGCGUACAGCUCAUUAUAUCAGCAAUUAUUUAUUUGAAGGUCACCUAUUACAUGGAUAACCGUGGUAAUUCUAGAGCUAAUACAUGCGAAAAGUCGGCGCAAGUCGAUGUAUUUAUUAGAUACAGAAUCAAUACGUGUUCUGCACGUUCUAUUGAUGAAUCAUAAUAACUGUUCGAAUCGCACGGCCUUCGCGCCGGCGACGUAUCUUUCAAAUGUCUGCCUUAUCAACUGUCGAUGGUAGGUUACGCGCCUACCAUGGUUGCAACGGGUAACGGGGAAUCGGGGUUCGAUUCCGGAGAGGGAGCCUGAGAAACGGCUACCACAUCCAAGGAAGGCAGCAGG